UCAGUGUCUGGUAGUUAGAUGCACAGCAAGGUUCAAAAUUAAACCAAGUUGGCGUGCCUUCUGGGAUCGUCCCCAACUCUCUUUGCUAACUACUGAGAGGGAAGCUGCUGUCCACAAGCCGCAUCCAGACUGUCUGCACUGACAUGCUGAGGUGGGCAACCACACAAACUUAAGAUCAAAGCUUCUUUGAUGGCAGGCACCGUGUUCUUCCUCCAGAAUACCCAAUUUUGCAACUAUUAGACCUUCAAUGAAUAUUUACUAAGGGCUAUGAGUAGUUCAAAAACGCAGAAACAAAUUAGCUACAGAACUACAUGUGGUGAUUAAAAACAUUUCAAAUGAUGAUUCUCAAAUUCUAAUGUGCAUAAGAGUUGAAAGGGAAGCCUAUUAAAAUGUGAACUCCUAAAUCUCAUUUCCAAAGACAGGGCCCACCAGAUGGCAAAUGACUUUAUCUACCCAGCCCAGAGCCGGGCUGGAAACAGAAUGCAUCCCAUGCCCCCCUUCCACUCUGCUGGGAGAAUUGUGGAGUUUUUCUGUAAAGGGUGCUUGAUUUAGUCUGUGUGUGUGUGUGUGUGUGUCUGUGCACAUGUGCACACUCGAGCUUGUUCUAAAUACAAGUUUC